GGGGCUGUGGCUCAUUGGUAGAACAUUUAUUUGGUGUGAAGAAGGUCCCAGGUUCAAUCCUUGGCAUCUCCA
rnacentral:tRNA from 1 species